CAGAAAGGAAGAAAUACAAAUAAACUUUCAUAAUUAUGCUUAUAAACUGUAAAUUAACUUGCAAAAAAAUCUGCAACAGCAGCAGUAUCUUUGCCUUCAUUUCUUUCAGUAACUUAAUUUCUGCUCAUUUCAAAUGCUCCCAUGAUGCUGUUCAGCAUUUUAGUAUUUGGAUUUGCUAUAGGCAAAUGCCAAGACUCCCAAGGAGCUACUUCCUCUUGACCUUAACUGCCUUCAGUCCUUGCGUGCAGACAAUGGAGCCCUCAGCUUUCUGCAGUUGCUGCCAACAGAAGGAUCUGAGUGUGAGCAUGUAUCACUCUACUUGGGUUUAAUAACAGCACCUGCUCUUUCUCUGAACUUGAUGUUCUUCAGUUUGCAAACUCUGUGCAUAGUUUCACCUUGUGUCCACCGUGUUGGAGAAGCCCCUGUUACUUUGCAGUUAACACAUUUGCCUUGUUCAUUUUAGGUAAGGAGGUUUGGGGGAGGGGGAUGCUUCUUUUCUAGCAAUACGUGUGCCACUGCUGUAUGCCUUGGCAAAUGCCACCGCAGCAGCAUGUCUUGAAUACAGAUACAUUUACAGCAAGAGCUUGGAGCUUCUUGGAGCAGUUUGAGGAGUGGUAUGGCAGAUAGAAUAGGGCAAGCCAGAAUAUUAAGUGCCACAAACUUUGACUUUUUCCACACAUUGUAAACACUGGCUCACCAGGGCUUUGCCAGUGAAUAGGUAGAAGGGGCUGACUAUGUGUGUUCAGACACCACUGUGGGGACCAAGGUCUUUUGUUGUUAUUGUUGCUGCUGCUUCAGUAGUAGAGAUUUUGUAGUCAAAUUUAAAAAACCGAAGAGACCUCUGGACAAAUUCAGAUUCUCAUCUGUCAUAUUCUGGCUACAGGUGUACAUACUUCCCUGCCUAAGCUUCAGAUUUUUUUUUAAAUCACUUUUUUUAUUAUUAACCAAAUUGGUAAAAAUGAUACCUGUAUUGUAGACUGAGCUGCAACCAGAGUGAGACAAAAAACGGGCCCUCCCCUCACAUUCAUGGAAGGACAUUGCUCUUCCUAACCAGUACAAGGAUUUUCCAGGAAAGUGUCCAGCUAAUGGCAAGUUUGUGUUGAAGGACGUUGCUGAAGAUGGGAUGUUGCAAGGAUAACCACCAGACUGAAUCUGUGUUAGAUGACGCAUAAACCAGUUGUUUCUUAAAACUUCUUUUUUUAAUAUGUCUGUGUGCCUCAGCACAUGUAUGUGCUCCCCGUGCCUGCAGGUGCCCGUGAAGGGUAGAAGUGCAUGUCCAUUGGUCCCUGUGGAACUGGAGUUACAGGCGUUUGUGAGCCACCUCAUGUGGGUGCUGGGAACCAUACCUGGGCCAUCUGCAGGGGCAGCAAAUGUUCUUAACCACUGAGCCUCUCUCCAGCUUCUUGAAAUUAAUUUUUCAAUUGUGAGGUUGCAAAACCAUCAGUAUUUAAUAUAAAGCAGUGGAGGAGGAGUUAUACCUGUUUUUGAACUUAUAUGCCAGGCACUGUGAUAGACUUACAAACAGCCCAGCAAAAGUAAGAGCCAUUAUUCCCAUCAUUAAGAGGAUCAGUCAGUUAGCUAUCCGUGUACAGCAAGAUCUGCAAGACGGCAACCCUACGAGGGUCAAGUCGGUGUACAUGGUUGCUGUGCCAUGCCAAACUAACUAGAUCAAGCUCCCUGUGCAGUUUUUCUGGCUGUUCUUUUUUAAACUAGCCUUUUGCUAUUGUUAGAGUGACCUAGAAGUAGUCCCAAGUUUUGAGAACACAAGUCGCAUCCCCACUGCACACAGGUCUCAAGAACUGAAUGCUGAUACUCCCCAAUGUGGCUGUGCUGGUCAGUAAUCCCAGCCACAGGAGAGUCAUGAGUUCCAGAGCAUCAAAACUGUCUGAGGAAAAGCAGAGAACUGGCAGGAUGGACCCAUCAGGAAAGUGCUUUCUUUGCAAGCAGGAAGAUAGAAGUUUGUUCAUAGAAUUCAGUAAAGAAAAAUCAUCAAUUGCUAAGGCUCACUGGGCUACUUGGUGAUUUCCAGGGUAGUCAGAGACUUGGGCUCAAAAAUUAAGUGGAUGAUACCUAAGGAAUGAAGCCUAGGUUGUCUGACCUCUACAUGCAUAUGUGAUCAUGUGCAUGCAUAUAGGCAUACUUAAAAAGGAUGAAGAGAGUAGGAGGAGAGAGCUUCCUCUGGAGUAGACUGACAGUUUGCUGUAGUACCAUUUUCUUCACUGUAGGGGCGGGGACUGCACAAGGAGCUUUGUUUGAAAGGUUUUCACAAACUUUACAAAGGUUAAAGUUUGCUUUGUACUGAAUAAGAAAACAGGAAAAUUCUUGAAUAUUUUAAAGGAAUCAUCACAAAAUACAUUCUGUAUAUACAGUUCAUUAAAGCACAAGUCUUAAAUGGUAUUUUUAAGACCAAAAUUAUCUUUAGCUAUUAAUUUGUUCAUUGUACCAUAAAAGUAUGGCUGUUGAAUUAUAAUCACAAUUAAAUGAGAGUGUUGGUUUAUAACUCUAAUGAGCAGUAGUCACAUUAAACCCAAUUAGGAAAUGGUGAUUAAUGAGCAGUUGUGUAUGUUGGGUCUCCGUCAUUGUCACCGUCCCCCAAUGCCAUCCCCUAUUUAGAAGCUAUAAAUGCAGUCAUUUAGAUCUUAGCAAUGUUGAUAAUAUUUAUAAUCUAACUGCCUAAGUCAUUUUCAUUUAGGUGACUAACAGAACAUUUCAUAGAAAAACAUUGAUUUAACUAUUGUUCUUAUAAUUUGGAGGCAUAAGAGCUCCAGAAGUUAAGUAUCACAUAAAUAUUUUGUCUUCAAAGCUCACCAUUGUGCCAUCUCUCUGUAGGAGACUGUCCCCUGGCUCCUAUUGCUUACUGAGGAACAUUGUUUUUUGUUGUUUUUUUUUUUUAAUGUACUUUAUUGUUCAUCUACCUCCAUGUCCUGUUAGUGAAAAGCGGUGACCAGUGACAUCAUAACAUCAAAGCUGCUGAGUCACCCAUAGGAAAGUCAUGAAAGAAUUGCAAUCCAAGAAGAAUUCCUUCUAAUUUGCUUAACAGCCUUAUUCAGAAGCGGUGCAUUCUUCUGUUGAAGCUCUGGGGUCAGAGGCCUCUCACUGCCAGUCACGUCCUCCAUCAAGGUGGCUGAAUUAGCAGCUUGCAAAAUCUCACACCACUAAAGAAAACAACACAAACACCCUGUGAAUAUAAGUACCUUAGCUUUCUUUGAUAUUUGUUCAGAAGGAAAAUUCAUUUGUAUAAUCUAUCAACCAUGUAACAAUAUGUUUUUGAUGGUGAAAAUUGUUUUAUAAAUAUUAAUAGGUAUGCUUUUU